CUUUCCCUCUUUCUUUCUGCCUAACACAUGCAAGUCGAACGGCAGCACAGUAAGAGCUUGCUCUUACGGGUGGCGAGUGGCGGACGGGUGAGGAAUACUUCGGAAUCUACUUUUUCGUGGGGGAUAACGUAGGGAAACUUACGCUAAUACCGCAUACGACCUACGGGUGAAAGCAGGGGAUCUUCGGACCUUGCGCGAUUGAAUGAGCCGAUGUCGGAUUAGCUAGUUGGCGGGGUAAAGGCCCACCAAGGCGACGAUCCGUAGCUGGUCUGAGAGGAUGAUCAGCCACACUGGAACUGAGACACGGUCCAGACUCCUAAGGGAGGCAGCAGUGGGGAAUAUUGGACAAUGGGCGCAAGCCUGAUCCAGCCAUACCGCGUGGGUGAAGAAGGCCUUCGGGUUGUAAAGCCCUUUUGUUGGGAAAGAAAAGCAGCAGGUUAAUACCCCGCUGUUCUGACGGUACCCAAAGAAUAAGCACCGGCUAACUUCGUG
rnacentral:rRNA from 1 species